ACCCAUAUGGAAAAGAAACAGAAAAAACUUAUUGCUCACCAGCAGUAUUUCCACUGGAAAGACUGCGGUGAGCAGAUGUCUCACAAAGACUGUUGCCGAAUUGGCAUUGAUGGCAUAGGCCCACGCCAGUUUCUCAACCAUGACUCCGGUCCCAGGAUGGAUCUCAACCUGGACACAAGAAGAAUGGGAGGCAGUCAGGGAUGGAGACACAGAUGUGGAACUGGACAGCGUAGAUCUGGGGAGGGACAGCGAAGUGGCACAUGGAGAACUGGACCUGGACUGCGGAGACCCUGGAAGGGCCGGUAAUGCUUUGGUCCUUGAUCUCCUGCUUUAAUUCAACCACAGUCUGAGUCGGACUGUUGUGAUUAUCUGAAGAAGGCUGUGAUUGACCGUAUAGCCUAAGAAACUCUUCUGCAGGGUCUAUCCUCCUGGGAGCCUUUGACUUCUGGGUGUCAAGAGAUAGGAAAAAAAACAAAACCAAAAUAAA
ensembl:lncRNA